rnacentral:rRNA from 1 species
UACGAGGGGUGCAAACGUUAUUCGGAUUUACUGGGUGUAAAGGGUGUGUAGACGGCGCAUUAAGUUCGUUGUUAAAUCUUCCGGCCUAACUGGAAGGUCGCGAUGAAAACUGGUGUGCUUGAGGAUGGAAGAGAGAAGUGGAAUUCUCGGAGUAGCGGUAAAAUGCGUAGAUCUCGAGAGGAACACCGAUGGCGAAGGCAGCUUCUUGGUCCAUUCCUGACGUUGAGACACGAAAGCGUGGGGAGCAAACAGG